rnacentral:rRNA from 1 species
UAAUGUAUGGGGAUCUGCCCGAUAGAGGGGGGUAACUAUUGGAAACGGUGGCUAAUACCGCAUAAUGUCUACGGACCAAAGCAGGGGCUCUUCGGACCUUGCACUAUCGGAUGAACCCAUAUGGGAUUAGCUAGUAGGUGGGGUAAAGGCUCACCUAGGCGACGAUCUCUAGCUGGUCUGAGAGGAUGAUCAGCCACACUGGGACUGAGACACGGCCCAG